GUUAUAACACAAACAAUAGAACAGAGUUGAGUGGAGAUAUAAAUG
rnacentral:guide_RNA from 1 species